UUCCCUGGGGUGUACGCCAGUCGCAUGUACCCUGAGCCGAUAUUUACUAGAUUGGGGCUGCUUCUUGCUUGCUAUUGUGCAGGCCGUCAUUUUAUGCACGGAAGCCUUAGGCAACCAUAGUGACCCCACUUGAACCACCUGGUUCAAGGAGUCAAUUGUGGCAGCGGCACUUCCGGGGC
rnacentral:other from 1 species